CAGUAGCCGCGGUAAUACGUAGGGUGCGAGCGUUAAUCGGAAUUACUGGGCGUGAAGCGUGCGCAGGCGGUUAUAUAAGACAGAUGUGAAAUCCCCGGGCUCAACCUGGGACCUGCAUUUGUGACUGUAUAGCUAGAGUACGGUAGAGGGGGAUGGAAUUCCGCGUGUAGCAGUGAAUGCGUAGAUAUGCGGAGGAACACCGAUGGCGAAGGCAAUCCCCUGGACCUGUACUGACGCUCAUGCACGAAAGCGUGGGGAGCAAACAGGAUUAGAUACCCCAGUAGUCCCUGUCUCUUAUACA
rnacentral:rRNA from 1 species